GUGAACCAAAUUGAUUGCCUUUUCCAAGUCUUCCAAUAUGGAGGCUUCAGAACCACGAAAUUUCAUACAAAAUCCCAAAGAUUCUAAAACUGCUGCUAAGCCAGCAUCAGAGGCAUCCAGACCUGCAGGAUAUUGUAGAGCAGCAGAAAUACGGCAUAUAGAUGGAAUUGCAGAUGGAUCUCUUGCACCAGCCCUAGCCGUCAAUAUAGCAGCAUUCUUUUCAGCAGCAGCAACAACUUCUGGUCCAGUAGAUCCACCGACACCCAUAGAUUCCAAUAGUGCCUGGGGUGUUGAUGGAAGC
rnacentral:misc_RNA from 1 species